rnacentral:rRNA from 1 species
UGCCAACGGCUGACUGGCACUUGGAGAGUGGCAAGUCUUCCAGUAUGGGGAGCAAACAGCUAUGGGUCAAGCCCGAUACCUUUAAGAGAAGUCUUAUUGUGAGGGCGAGUUGUAUAACACCAUAGGGCUGGCCGUCCCAUAUGAAAAGAUUUUAUUAGAAUUGAAUGAAACUUUGUUUAUAUAUUGAUAAUGACAGUAUAUAUAUCGUGUCUUGACUAAUUGCGUGCCAGCAGUCGCGGUAAUACGUAAGAGACUAGUGUUAUUCAUCUUAAUUAGGUUUAAAGGGUACCCAGACGGUCUAUAUAGCUUAUAAAAUGUUAGUAUAAGACUAGAGUUUUAUGUAAGAGGGCAGUACUUGAGGAGGAGAGAUGAAAUUUCGUGAUACCAAAGGGACUCUGUAAAGGCGAAGGCAGCCCUCUAUGUAAAAACUGACGUUGAAGGACGAAGGCACAGAGAACAAACAGGAUUAGAUACCCAAGUAGUCUUUGCAGUAAAUGAUGAAUGCCAUAGGUUAGAUAUAUUUUGCUGAAGGUCCGUUUCUCCCACGGCUUCGGAUACACAAAAUUAUAUUUGGUCUAUAAAUGAAAGUGUAAGCAUUUCACCUCAAGAGUAAUGUGGCAACGCAGGAACUGAAAUCACUAGACCGUUUCUGACACCAGUAGUGAAGUAUGUUAUUUAAUUCAAUAAUCCGC